rnacentral:tRNA from 1 species
AAGGAGUUAGUUUAAUAGAAAACAUAAACUUGUCAAGUUUAAGAUAUUACCUUUAACAAUUUACUUCUUU